rnacentral:rRNA from 1 species
AUGAACGCUGGCGGCGUGCCUAAUACAUGCCAGUCGAGCGAACAGACGAGGAGCUUGCUCCUCUGACGUUAGCGGCGGACGGGUGAGUAACACGUGGAUAACCUACCUAUAAGACUGGGAUAACUUCGGGAAACCGGAGCUAAUACCGGAUAAUAUAUUGAACCGCAUGGUUCAAUAGUGAAAGACGGUUUUGCUGUCACUUAUAGAUGGAUCCGCGCCGCAUUAGCUAGUUGGUAAGGUAACGGCUUACCAAGGCAACGAUGCGUAGCCGACCUGAGAGGGUGAUCGGCCACACUGGAACUGAGACACGGUCCAGACUCCUACGGGAGGCAGCAGUAGGGAAUCUUCCGCAAUGGGCGAAAGCCUGACGGAGCAACGCCGCGUGAGUGAUGAAGGUCUUCGGAUCGUAAAACUCUGUUAUUAGGGAAGAACAAAUGUGUUAGUAACUAUGCACGUCUUGACGGUACCUAAUCAGAAAGCCACGGCUAACUACGUG